GACGAACGCUGGCGGCGUGCUUAACACAUGCAAGUCGAGCGGAAAGGCCCCUUCGGGGGUACUCGAGCGGCGAACGGGUGAGUAACACGUGAGUAAUCUGCCCUUGGCUUCGGGAUAGCCACCGGAAACGGUGAUUAAUACCGGAUAUGACCAGCUACUGCAUGGUGGUUGGUGGAAAGUUUUUCGGCCAGGGAUGUGCUCGCGGCCUAUCAGCUUGAUGGUGAGGUAACGGCUCACCAUGGCUUCGACGGGUAGCCGGCCUGAGAGGGUGACCGGUCACACUGGGACUGAGACACGGCCCAGACUCCUACGGGAGGCAGCAGUGGGGAAUAUUGGACAAUGGGCGGAAGCCUGAUCCAGCAACGCCGCGUGAGGGAUGACGGCCUUCGGGUUGUAAACCUCUUUCAGUACCGACGAAGCGCAAGUGACGGUAGGUACAGAAGAAGCACCGGCCAACUACGUGCCAGCAGCCGCAGUAACAC
rnacentral:rRNA from 1 species